rnacentral:lncRNA from 1 species
UUCCACAAUCUGUGUAGUAUAAAUUGAAUCUGUUUUAUUUAUGUCAAGAAGUAUCAUUGGAGCAACACUGUGAUGUACAUACGUACACGUAAACAUAAACAUUACGUGCUAUAUCUAUCUCACGAAAAAUAACAAAAGAUACACCAUGACGCGUUGUAUUAUACGUAAGAACUUGUACGCGCUAAUGAAUCGUCAAGUGCGAAGUCAUGCGCGGGAAUUAAUAAUAAAGUGUUGUAUUAAUCGAGAAGUGAAAUUUAUUACCUCGUUGAGUCUAACAACUGAUAUCGGUUAACAUCGGAUUCGGGGAUCUUCGGGACGCAGUCGGGCAAUCUCGGGUAUUCAAUAUCGAUUUGAACCAGCUACCCGAAGUCCCACUUAUAACUAAUACGUUGUACACAUAAUCAGCAGCUACAAAUGCUUGUAAAAAAAAAAACCACUAAGCCCAAAUUACUCAAUACGCGCCCACAACUCGUUAUACCAAUUACCCAAGGGAUAAUUGUAUGACCGAAUAAUUGUAUCACUCGGCUAUUAUUUUCUAAUUUGUUCGAAAGAGCUCAACCUUAUUGGAAUGCUUCGAUUUUUAUUAAACAUCCACGGGUUUAUUCAUUUAUCGCCGAAAUAUGCCUCAACGGUAAUGGUUAACGGCUGGUUACCAUUAUCAUCAGCGAUUAACAUGUGCUAGUUUCAAAUUCAUUCUGGCGUUGGGCAAUAUCAAAUCGGUACACAAAACUCGGAUUCCAAUUUACCAAAUUUAUAAGACUCAACUCACAAGUCAUCAACUUAUGGCACAGUCUUCAUUAUUGACGUUUAAAUAUGUAGAGCGAAAAAUGCAGCUAUAAAAUGUAAUUCUAAUAUGAAAUAAGUGGCUUUCAAUGACAUUUUUGCAGCAAAAUUCAUCAUUGAAAACUACCACUAUUCCAUAUUAGAAAUAGGCAAACAGAAGAAUUUUUGCCGUAAUGGGUCUGUAUCGAGGUGAAAUUGAUUUGGGAUCAACGAGGCAUAAAAACACCGAAAAAAUACGUGAUGCAAUAAUUGAAAUGUCUUAAAGUUUAUUUAUUAACAUCACAGAUACAAUAAUUAUGUACAUAUUUGUUCGAGACCUCCGCUUCGAACUUUGGAGCACCUCGCUGUCAAUCUAAGUACUGAAGUACCAAAUUCCGACUAAGAAUACAGUAUAAAGUAUGUAUACUAACAAGGAGAGUAUCAGACCUCUGAAUCAUGAAUUGUAUUCAAACUUCUACGGUUGAUUCUUUGGCCUAAAAUAUAAAACCUGUAUAAGUAGUUUCAUCACAUAGGACUCUUCACACCAGGUCAAACUAAUUAAAUUAGCAGUUUGGUGAGCGAAAUGCCAUUAUAAGUGACAAGAUACUAUAGAUACAAGUGUAAACGGAUAUAUUAUUAUUUCAGAGCUAUAGUGAAGUAUAAAUUGCGAAUUUUCGACAAUUUUAUUUAUUGUGAAUUGAGUGAAAGAGGGCCCAAAUAGCUGGAACUACGCAUGAGUAACUCGAUAAUUUGAGCCAAGGAUACAUCCCUCAGUCUCAGCAGAAUCUGUGAUUCAGAGGUCUGAUAUUCUCCUUGCAAGUAGUAAGGUUAACGAUGGUUUUUAGGAUUGCAAUAAUUAAUAUAACGAUAUGGUAG